UUACAAUUACAUUACAAGAAUAUGUUUAAACAUUAAGCUAGUAGCAAUAUAUAAAACAAAAUAACAACACUAAAAGACAAUAUCAGUACAUUAUAUAUGAGAAAUAAUAUUAAAACUAAUACUUACACUAAUAUGAUUAAAAUAUCUGUAUAAAACCGGUUUUAAGGUUAUUAUAUAAAUGAUAUUUUUAUAUAGUUCAAUCCUUCGGAUGGCUGGUAUCGUCAUUCUGAUGCUUGUCUUCUAUAUUUCUUCUAUUGAUAGCAUGACUCCUUGGACAGCAGAGCCUGUGUCUUUCUUUCUUAUUUCUAACGCUGCUAUCAGUUUCUUUCAGCACAUAUUCCCAUGCUUGGGGAAGCUGUACCAUUGGUCGUUCAUUGAGG
rnacentral:lncRNA from 1 species